ACAUCUCUUGGAGUUCUAGCUCACCUUUUUGGUGUUGUUUUUGUACUCAUCUGUUUAAUCUAGUUCUGCCACUUCUUCUUGAACUUCUUGUUAGAUUUCAAGUCUGUAUUUUGUGUCCGUGACACAUAGUUGUUCUGGAAUAGGUAAUUGCUAAAAAAGACUAUAAGAUCAAUGGCAAGGAGUUUUGGAACUUGAAGGAAU
rnacentral:lncRNA from 1 species